UCUUGUAUAACAUAAUCUUAGAUUUAUACAAUUCAAGUUUUGAGCUUUGUGUAAUAUUGAUCAAUUUAAAAUAACAUUUUAAGUUUGUGCAAGAGAAGAAAGAACUAGUUUAUCUAAGAUUGAAUUAAAACUUUGUAUUUAGACCAAACCAAUGUUAUUUAGCCUAUCAUAUUUGAUUUAAAAUUAAAAUAUAUUUUUGUGUUUGUAAAA
rnacentral:lncRNA from 1 species